rnacentral:rRNA from 1 species
CCCUUAGAUGUUCUGGGCGGCCCGCGCACUACAUUGGCACUCUCAAUAAGUUCCUAGAUCUAAAACUUUGGGGUAUUCUAUUAAGUGGUGUCGUGACUGGGAUUAACCCUUGCAAUUAUUGGUUACGAACGAGGAAUUCCUUGUAAUCGCGGUUUAUCAGCCCGCGUUGAAUGCGUCCCUGCCCUUUGUACACACCGCCCGUCGCUCCUACCGAUUGAAUGCUCAGGUGAGCCAUUCGGACCUUCAUCAUGCCGGUUUCCGGUUUUGAUGAGGGAAAGUCUUGCGAACCUUAUCAUUUAGAGGAAGGAGAAGUCGUAACA